AUUGAACGCUGGCGGCAUGCUUUACACAUGCAAGUCGAACGGCCGCGCGGGCUUCGGCCUGGCGGCGAGUGGCGAACGGGUGAGUAAUGCAUCGGAACGUUCCCAGUAGUGGGGGAUAGCCCGGCGAAAGCCGGAUUAAUACCGCAUACGACCUGAGGGUGAAAGCGGGGGACCGAAAGGCCUCGCGCUAUUGGAGCGGCCGAUGUCGGAUUAGCUAGUUGGUGGGGUAAAGGCUUACCAAGGCGACGAUCCGUAGCUGGUCCGAGAGGACGACCAGCCACACGGGGACUGAGAAACGGCCCAGACUCCUACGGGAGGCAGCAGUGGGGAAUUUUGGACAAUGGGGGCAACCCUGAUCCAGCCAUGCCGCGUGAGGGAAGAAGGCCUUCGGGUUGUAAACCGCUUUUGUUCGGGAAGAAAUCCUCUGGGCUAAUACCCCGGGGGGAUGACGGUACCGGAAGAAUAAGCACCGGCUAACUACGUG
rnacentral:rRNA from 1 species